rnacentral:tRNA from 1 species
CGGGGUGUAGCUCAGAUGGCUAGAGCGCUGCGUUUGGGACGCAGAGGUCGGAGGUUCGAGUCCUCUCACCCCGA